UACGUAGGGUGCGAGCGUUGUCCGGAAUUAUUGGGCGUAAAGAGCUCGUAGGCGGUCUGUCGCGUCGGUCGUGAAAACCUGCAGCUUAACUGUGGGCGUGCGGUCGAUACGGGCAUGACUGGAGUUCGGCAGGGGAGACUGGAAUUCCUGGUGUAGCGGUGAAAUGCGCAGAUAUCAGGAGGAACACCGGUGGCGAAGGCGGGUCUCUGGGCCGAUACUGACGCUGAGGAGCGAAAGCGUGGGAAGCGAACAGG
rnacentral:rRNA from 1 species